UGGGGAGUGAGAAAUUGUUUGCCUCUUAGGCGGACCCUAACCACGAUUCCAACUUCCAUCCAGGAUGAUUUUUAAAACGAUUCCAGCACCGAGAUUCAAAUAAAAGUAUCCCCGGGUGCGAAGGAAAACAUUUGUUUAGGGAAGCAUUACAAACACGAUAGUGUGUGCCUUGGAGCCAGCGCCCAGAGGCCUGCUGAUGUCCUGGGGCAGAAAUAGCCUGUUUCAUCAUCAGCUCGGAGGACCGCAGCCUGCAUUCCUCGAGUAAGGAGCCGUACUCGGCUGUGCUUUUGGAGCAAAAUAACAUGGCCAGCUGCAGGCUGGGGGAAGGCCAGGCUGAGGUUUCAGAGGGAGAGUUGCAGAAGGAUAUGAAAUAAUCAGGGAAGAGGCAAGUCCAGGAGCUGUGAGCUGCGUGGAAAGAAUGUGAAUGAAGACACAAUUCUAAAUGUAGAAUCGCGGACGCUAUGUGAGCUGGCUCCCUCAUCGUCCAGAAAAACAAGACCCGCUUGUACGUUCUGCAAGAGCAUAAAUAAAGCUGUCCUCAGGUGGCGUGCUACGGUG